rnacentral:rRNA from 1 species
AAGAUGGUGAACUAUGCCCGAGUAGGACGAAGCCAGAGGAAACUCUGGUGGAGGUCCGUAGCGAUUCUGACGUGCAAAUCGAUCGUCAAACUUGGGUAUAGGGGCGAAAGACUAAUCGAACCAUCUAGUAGCUGGUUCCCUCCGAAGUUUCCCUCAGGAUAGCUGGCACUCAUUCCGCAAGGGCAGUUUUAUCCGGUAAAGCGAAUGAUUAGAGGCCUUGGGGCCGAAACGACCUCAACCUAUUCUCAAACUUUAAAUGGGUAAGAAGUUCGACUCGCCCGAGAGAGAGAGUCUUUUCCCGGAGUCGAACGGUGUGGUAGAUUUCUUUUUUUUCCCCAAAAAAAAUAAAUCAAAAACUUGGAUUUUGGAAAACGAAUGCGAGUGCUUAGUGGGCCACCUUUGGUAAGCAGAGCUGGCGCUGUGGGAUGAACCAAAAGCCCGGUUAAGGUGCCUAACGCCGGACGCUCAUCGGAUACCAUAAAAGGUGUUGGUCGAUACAGACAGCAGGACGGUGGCCAU